GGCGUUGGUCACGUGACCCCAGACCCCUCCCCCUCGCCCUUCCUAAGGCUCCAGGCUGGAAAUAACUGAGCUCUCUCUCCCAAGUGCUAGUGCUGCGUUGUCACAGCAACCCUUUGACAGUGGAAGCACGAUGAAUAAUAAACUCCUUUUUCUACAGAAGAGGAAACCGAGGCCUGAGCCUUGGAUGGGAAUCAAAGACCACACUCUUCUAGAGGCACUGAAGAACGAAGUAACAAGAACAAUGAAAACUUUAAUCAGAAUAAUAGCAAAAGGUGCUGUAUUGAAGUCUGCACCAAGUACCGUGGGAUUGCCCUUUGUGAGAAUCCAGAGAACUUCUAGGAGAACAUGAUGUUUGAGUUGCGUCUUGAGGAUGGGGAGUUCAAAGAUAAAGAAAAGCAUACGUAGAGGUAAUUCCAUUUCAUCGCACAAAGGAAGGAGCAUGUAGUGUUUGAGGGACUGCAAGAAUUUGUGUGUGGCACAUGAUGGCAUGGUGGGGCUGGAAAGUCGGCCAAGAUGGGCUGGGAAGGGCCAUGUAUAUAGGAAGCCCUUGGCAUUCAUGAAUGACUUGCCACCAAUUAUCCCUCAAAUCUGUAACAAUUUGCUAAAACAAAGGUGGGAUGA